GACGAACGCUGGCGGCGUGCCUAAUACAUGCAAGUUGAGCGCUGAAGGUUGGUACUUGUACCAACUGGAUGAGCAGCGAACGGGUGAGUAACGCGUGGAGAAUCUGCCUUUGAGCGGGGGACAACAUUUGGAAACGAAUGCUAAUACCGCAUAAAAACUUUAAACACAAGUUUUAAGUUUGAAAGAUUCAAUUGCAUCACUCAAAGAUGAUCCCGCGUUGUAUUAGCUAGUUGGUGAGGUAAAGGCUCACCAAGGCGAUGAUACAUAGCCGACCUGAGAGGGUGAUCGGCCACAUUGGGACUGAGACACGGCCCAAACUCCUACGGGAGGCAGCAGUAGGAAAUCUUCGGCAAUGGACGAAAGUCUGACCGAGCAACGCCGCGUGAGUGAAGAAGGUUUUCGGAUCGUAAAACUCUGUUGGUAGAGAAGAACGUUGGUGAGAGUGGAAAGCUCAUCAAGUGACGGUAACUACCCAGAAAGGGACGGCUAACUACGUG
rnacentral:rRNA from 1 species